AAUUGAAGGAAGUUACGGUAACCGCAAGCAGUUACAUGCGGUUCCGAUCGGCUGGAGGUGGUCCGAAAUAUGAGGAGAUAAUGGCCGAUCGUGUAAGAGCAAUAACUGAUCAGGGGGGCGAUCUAUAAAUAGGGUAAUAACACCCUAAAAAGAGGUCUCUUCCCUGCGAACAAAAGACCACCCUUAUUUUUCUGCAUCUUUCUUUCCUGCAUUUUCCACUUUUUCUAGGAGUAGUUCCUGUAACUUAGCAUCCCGGAGUCUGUCUGCCCUUUGGGCAUCACUCCGCUAUAGACUAAACCCCUUUUUCCUAUACUUUUCUCAUUCUACUUCAAUAGAAGGCAGUGUUCGGCUCUUCAGGCCGACCAGUUCCUGUGCUGAUUAGCUAUUCGGCUCAUUUCUU
rnacentral:lncRNA from 1 species